rnacentral:rRNA from 1 species
UACGUAGGGUGCGAGCGUUGUCCGGAAUUAUUGGGCGUAAAGGGCUCGUAGGCGGUUUGUCGCGUCGGGAGUGAAAUCCACUGGCUUAACUGGUGGCUUGCUUUCGAUACGGGCAGACUGGAGGUAUGCAGGGGAGAACGGAAUUCCUGGUGUAGCGGUGGAAUGCGCAGAUAUCAGGAGGAACACCAAUGGCGAAGGCAGCUCUCUGGUACAUGACUGACACUGAGACGCGAAAGCGUGGGGAGCGAACAGG